rnacentral:misc_RNA from 1 species
CUUUACUACUAGCUUGCGUGCUAUUUACAUUGGUCUGCGUCCUUAGCUUUUGUUCCUAACAUAUUUAUUUGUCUCUUCGGAGACCAUCUUAACGCUGCCAACGUCCUCUUGCGUUCAUUUCCUUCCAGUCAGAAUUGUACGACUUCCUUGCAGCCAUUGCAGCCAUGGCUCCCUCGCGCCAGUCACCUAAAGUCGCCGAUUGCAUAUUAUACAAGAGAGGAAUAUGACUAGUCCUUUUCACAUUGUGUAGUGUACACAAGUCAGUCGCUGGUUGUUGAGUCUGUAUCUGAAGCCAUGGAGGAGGACUUGCCUACCGCCUUUCUGCCACGUGAAGGAAUAUUCAAGACUGGCUAUUCUCUGGCAUUGACAUUUUAUAUUAACUGUUGGUCAUGAAGCAGUAGGAUCACCAGUGCAGUUUCUGAUUUGCAUGUACAAUGUAUCCUGUGUUCAACAAAGUGUUCAAUUCCAUUCAGGAUGGACAAUAAAACACUUCAAAAGUACAGAAGAUGGGGCUGUGAGUGGCAGUGGUGAGUGUUGUCUAGGACGGGCUAUCAGAGGAGUUAUGGGGGUGUCAAAUAUGGCCAGGUUAAUGUUAAAUUAACCGCAAAUGGCAAAUGGAGAGCUGUUCAUGUUCACGAGAUAGUCUACAUGAUAGCUACCAGCCAAUUCAGUUCAGGUGCAAUGUACCUGUGGAAACACCUGUGGGGUGGGGGGCACCUGUUACUGGAGACCCACCCCAUGAAGCUCACCCCAUGAAGGUCCUGCAUGGACAGUGGUGGGGUGCCAAGAUGCUUGGUGACCCUCAGACUGUGACAAGGCUUGUUUUUAUUUGAUGGCUAACAGAUGUCUGACUAACUGAGAAGUGGGAAUACAAACAAGAUUAUGAUAUUUGUCAUGACAUCAUUUGGGUGAGUUGGUGAAGUAGACAGAAAAUGAUGAUAAUUUGACUUAGGCUGCAGGAUGUGUCUAUGUUUGCAGGUCAUGUAAACAUGCAUUUAACUUUUGUCAGGAAGUUUCUUCUUUUUAUCUGGUGUUAUCAGUGACCAAAGAUUAUAUACAUUAUUCAUGACAAAAGCAAAGACCGGUAAAUGACGAUACAAGUGUACUUAUAUUAUGUUUUCGGUUUGUGGCUUCUGACUUUGGCCUGGAGAUGUUUAAUUGUGUUACUAUGGUUACAUGAAGUGGGAGAUCUGUAAACCAACAAACUAAAGUGUUGCCAAAUCUUCAUGUAAGUGUGUUACCUUCGUUAUGUUACAGUUUUUUAUGAUUUCACCCACAUUAGUGUAGAACCAAUAAAGUGUGUCUCAAACAUGAA